rnacentral:rRNA from 1 species
UACAGAGGGUGCAAGCGUUGCUCGGAAUUAUUGGGCGUAAAGGGUAGGUAGGUGGUCUCGUUUGUCUGUGGUGAAAGCCUUGGGCUUAACCUAAGAAGUGCCGCAGAAACGGCGAGACUAGAGUUCUGGAGAGGGUCGUGGAAUUCCCGGUGUAGCGGUGAAAUGCGUAGAGAUCGGGAGGAACACCAGAGGCGAAAGCGGCGACCUGGACAGAUACUGACACUCAACUACGAAAGCGUGGGGAGCAAACAGG